CAAUAGCGUAUAUUAAAGUUGUUGCGGUUAAAAAGCUCGUAGUUGGAUUUCUGCCGAGGACGACCGGUCCGCCCUCUGGGUGAGUAUCUGGCUCGGCCUGGGCAUCUUCUUGGAGAACGUAGCUGCACUUGACUGUGUGGUGCGGUAUCCAGGACUUUUACUUUGAGGAAAUUAGAGUGUUUCAAGCAGGCUUACGCCUUGAAUACAUUAGCAUGGAAUAAUAAGAUAGGACCUCGGUUCUAUUUUGUUGGUUUCUAGAGCUGAGGUAAUGAUUAAUAGGGAUAGUUGGGGGCAUUCGUAUUUAACUGUCAGAGGUGAAAUUCUCGGAUUUGUUAAAGACGGACUACUGCGAAAGCAUUUGCCAAGGAUGUUUNCAUUGA
rnacentral:rRNA from 1 species